GAGGAGAGGUUGUGCAGUCCAGCUGCACAUUAGAGCAACCGAUGUCUGCCACAGGGCUAUAGAAGAUGCACUGGCCUCUGUCAGUAAAUGAGCCUGAUGUCUAAGGGUAUUGAAGAGAGAGGGACUGAAAGAAAUGGGGUACCAUAUCCACGUCACCCAAGAAACCACGCUGUGAAUGCUGCGAAGUACAAGCAGGAUCGAAGAGUCAGACCCACACCAUUCCUGCUCACGAUGACACCCUGGCAUCUGAAGAACAACAUGACACCCACCACAAAACGCUGCUGUUGGCUAGCGCUGUCUUAAACGGUGAGGUUUCAUGAGGGAGGUGAGACUGCCAAAGGAAGGCAAGUGGGGGUGUCACAGCAACGGGACCAGGCCACCAGCAUGACUCUAGUCUAUGAGACCUGUAAAAACUCCAGAGAGGGUAGUUGUGGUUUAAUCGUUUCUUCUACCCCUAUAAAGUAAAAGGCAAAGCUAACAGUUACCAUAUGGUAAAGGUAUGAUUCAAAGCCCUGCGUAGUGAGUGCCACGAGGACAAAUAUGCACGCACGAUUAUCUCCGUGCUGAGAGAUGGGGCUGAAUGUAGGUAUGUAUAUACAGUGAAGUCUGUGACUUCAGUGACUUCUGUAAGGAGGUGAAGGCAAGCUCCCAGCGAACUAACAGCCUCCACAGAUGAUCCUUUAUGAACGUUUUGCAUUUGGUGUACUUUCCCUUAAGGCAGCGUGAUGUAUCCCAUCACACACGUGUAUACGUGUGUGUGUGUGUGCAGAGACACUGGGAAUGUCUUAUGUGCAUAUUACACAACAUAUGCCAUUCGUGUAAUCACUUUAGAUAUAUAAAUAAAAUUCGUUUUAUAUACAUAAAUAAAAUAUGUGAAGGUAUUCCUUAAAGGAGCCAUAAAGGCCCACGUGUAGGUGGAUUCUUCAUCACAUCCAAAGAACUGAAAGACCGGGGAUAUAAAGCGGAAUCUUUUUAUAUGAGCGUGUAUCUCUUAUAAUCUCUCCAUAAAAUCCACAUGGCUGCAUAACCACUUCCAGAGAUGCGGAUGGAAGUUAUACCUGGACAGCCCGAAAGCCUUUAAUAAGUAAAGCAGCAUAUAAUCCUAUGAAAUGCCUUUCAGGAGUGAAAUAAUUACAAAGCGCUGGAGCAAGAGCAGCAAACAGCAGGAAAAUCACCUGUGAAUAGAUGUGAGAAACUGGAAGUGUACUCCAGUGUUUGUGUGGUCAUCAAAAUCAAACGUUCAGGAGCUGGAAAUCCAACUGCCGGGAGGGCAGACUGAUACAUUUAUAGGCACGUAUAGCCCGUGCCUUAAACUUUGAGUCUGCAACGUUGUUAGUGAGGUAUCCUCCUUUAUAAUGCUUGGCAUUUGUUCCCUUGGCAUUUAAAGAAGAUGGGCUGUUUUAAUUACAAUUUGAGCGAAUUCUUUAAAAGAAAAAAAAACCAAACUGCAAAAUGACUGAUGCAAAUCCCGGCCACUCGUGAGCACAAUGAAAUUCUACUGAGCAGAGAGGACACCGGGAGAGGCUCCCGAUCAGCUGCAGCAGAGAAUGCCCUGCGCUACGCAGCCCUCAGACGCCGGGAUUCUGAAAUACGAAUUAGACCUCAAAUGCAAAUCAACCUCCGAAGGGGGAGAAGGAAAAAAAUAAUAAUAAAAAAAAAAAAAUCAGA